GGUUUGUAGAUUUUAAUUAUAAAUCGGUUUCUGCCCAAUGAAAAAUUUAAAUGGCUGCGGUAUAUUGACCGUACAAAGGUAGCAAAAUCAAUAGUUUUUUAAUUGAAAGCUGGAAUGAAAGAGCUGAUGAAAUAAAGAUUGUUUCAGUAUUAAAAAUUGAAUUUAAAUUUUGAGUUAAAAUGCUUAAAUGAGUUUAUUAGACGAGAAGACCCUAUAGAAUUUUAUAAAAUUUAAUUUAAGAAAUUUAAAUGUAAUGUAUUUUUUUUAAAUUAAUUAUAUUUAGUUGGGAGGAUUAUAAAAUUAAAUUAACUUUUAUUAUUUUAAAAACAUAGAUAAAUGAAUUUUUGAUUAUUAUUAUAAUUAAAAGAAAAAAUUACCUUAGGGAUAACAGCGUAAUAUUUUUGGAGAGAUCAAAUUGAUAAAGAUGUUUGCGACCUCGAUGUUGAAUUAUGAUAUAAUUUAAGUGCAGUAGUUUAAAUUGUUAGUCUGUUCGACUAUUAAAAUCAUACA
rnacentral:rRNA from 1 species